rnacentral:lncRNA from 1 species
UACCUCAGCUUCCUCGGCGUGUUCCUUGUGUUCGUUGGCCAUAGGACCCUAUCUCAUCUUUCCAACACGACGGCAAAACAGAAGACUGCUUGAUGGGAAGAUGCGAAGAAUGUGUGAUCAUCAAUUUUCGGGCGGUCGCAGUUGCUUGGGUUCUGCAAAUGCUUUUGCUUGAGAUCCUGACCGAGUUCUUCUUGCGCAACUUGAGUUUUGAGGGACAACUGGGUGUCAUUUUGUAGUGGGUGCCGAGAAUCCUGGUACUAGAGAAGUGGUAGGACCUCACCUUCAUGUUUUAUGCACCGAUGUUUACUGAAGUGGUAGGACCUCACCUUCCAUGUAUGACGCACUGAUGUUUACUAAAUAGGCUGGAAUUUUUUAAACAUAGGAUUAAUAAGAUCAUAUUCUUACUCGAAAGGUUAACGUGUUAUGCCUUCUGAUUUACAAACUCACAAAACCAAAUUCAUUCAAUUUG